GACGAACGCUGGCGGCGUGCUUAACACAUGCAAGUCGAACGGAGUGCCCCUGAAAGAGUUUUCGGACAAUGGAAGGGAACACUUAGUGGCGGACUGGUGAGUAACGCGUGAGGAACCUGCCUUCCAGAGGGGGACAACAGUUGGAAACGACUGCUAAUACCGCAUGAUGCAUUUGAAUCGCAUGGUUUGAAUGUCAAAGAUUUAUCGCUGGAAGAUGGCCUCGCGUCUGAUUAGCUAGUUGGUGAGGUAACGGCCCACCAAGGCAACGAUCAGUAGCCGGACUGAGAGGUUGGCCGGCCACAUUGGGACUGAGAUACGGCCCAG
rnacentral:rRNA from 1 species